rnacentral:rRNA from 1 species
CUACGGGGCGCUGCAGUAAGGAAUAUUGCACAAUGGGCGAAAGCCUGAUGCAGCAACGCCGCGUGAGCGAUGAAGCCUCUAGGGGUGUAAAGCUCUUUUCUGUGGGACGAGGAAGGACGGUACCACAGGAAUAAGUCUCGGCUAACUACGUGCCAGCAGCCGCGGUAAUACGUAGGAGACGAGCGUUAUCCGGAUUUAUUGGGCGUAAAGAGCAUGUAGGCGGGCUCUCAAGUCGGACGUGAAAUCUCUCGGCUCAACUGAGAGGGGUCGUUCGAAACUAGGAGUCUUGAGGGCAGGAGAGGGGAGUAGAAUUCCCGGUGUAGUGGUGGAAUACGUAGAUAUCGGGAGGAAUACCAGUGGCGAAGGCGGCUCCCUGGCCUGUGCCUGACGCUGAGAUGCGAAAGCGUGGGUAGCGAACGGGAUUAGAUACCCGCGUAGUC